AUGAUUGAUCCUUUCCCUUCAGUAUGAACAGAAAACAGCGGAUUGGAAGCACCAACGGGGCCAGGCGUCCACUUGAAAGGAGGGACUGCUCCGUCGGUUUUCACCGGCUGGCCCUCGGGAGCUCGACUUCACCAAGGCAAAGUCCGGCAUGGAGGCACCGGCGGCUCUAGCACAGGAUUAAACUUCAGUCCGGUCACAUCAUCGCAGAAAGCCUGCCCAGAUACAGAACAGUAAUGUGCAUGAGUCAAAGAAUGAACAAAGGCCACUGACAAGUGACAGACUAUGGUUGAGACGUCUAAGAGUGUCUCCAGUGUUAGUUUGAAUUGGAUUUGCUAUAUUGUAUUAAAUGUUUUAAAAUUAC